CCAUGUCACCUAAGCUGAAUUCAUUUCUUGUAUUAAAUUAGAAUGAAGAAAAUUCCAUACUGAUGGAUCACAUUAAUUAUUGAGGACUACUGGCCAUAAUUAAGCAAAAUAUCCCCCUGUUUCCAUAUCAUCCCCAACGGUCGCAUUGAUUGGCGUCCCGGAGUUUGCUCCUUAGAGAGGCCGGGGGUGUGGGUCGUGGGGUUGGGUUAAGCAAAUUAGCCAUACGGUCCAUCGAAAACAUAAAAGCAGGCAGUGUUUGUUUCCAUUCGAUAAUUUUGGCUUUACCGGAGAAUCCAAGAGCUUGAUUAAGAAGAGAGACAGGGAAGGGUUGCUUUUCUUGUGGGUGGAUGAAGAUUUGGUGAAGAAAAAAAAAAAAAAAAAAAAAAAAU
rnacentral:lncRNA from 1 species